rnacentral:rRNA from 1 species
AUUGAACGCUGGCGGCAUGCCUUACACAUGCAAGUCGAACGGCAGCGGGGGAGAAGCUUGCUUUUCCUGCCGGCGAGUGGCGAACGGGUGAGUAAUACAUCGGAACGUGCCCUGUAGUGGGGGGAUAACUAGUCGAAAGAUUAGCUAAUACUGCAUACGGCUUGAGGGUGAAAGUGGGGGACGGCAAGGCCUCAUGCUAUAGGAGCGGCCGCUGUCUGAUUAGCUAGUUGGUGGGGUAAAGGCCUACCAAGGCGACGAUCAGUAGCUGGUCUGAGAGGACGAUCAGCCACACUGGGACUGAGACACGGCCCAGACUCCUACGGGAGGCAGCAGUGGGGAAUUUUGGACAAUGGGCGAAAGCCUGAUCCAGCAAUGCCGCGUGUGUGAAGAAGGCCUUCGGGUUGUAAAGCACUUUUGUCCGGAAAGAAAUGGCUCUGGUUAAUACCUGGGGUCGAUGACGGUACCGGAAGAAUAAGGACCGGCUAACUACGUGCCAGCCGCCGCGGUAA